rnacentral:rRNA from 1 species
UACGUAGGGGGCAAGCGUUGUCCGGAUUUAUUGGGCGUAAAGAGCGUGUAGGCGGCCAUACAGGUCCGUCGUGAAAACUGGAGGCUUAACCUCCAGACGUCGAUGGAAACCGUAUGGCUAGAGUCCGGAAGAGGAGAGUGGAAUUCCUGGUGUAGCGGUGAAAUGCGCAGAUAUCAGGAAGAACACCCGUGGCGAAGGCGGCUCUCUGGGGACGGUACUGACGCUGAGACGCGAAAGCGUGGGGAGCGAACAGG